CUUGAGCGACCCCAGCCACAGCGGCUGUGCGGCGCCGCGCUCGCGGCCGUAGGUGGCCAGCAGCGCCUGGGCCUC
rnacentral:antisense_RNA from 1 species